CCUACGGGAGGCAGCAGUGAGGAAUAUUGGUCAAUGGUCGGGAGACUGAACCAGCCAAGCCGCGUGAGGGAUGAAGGUACAGCGUAUCGUAAACCUCUUUUGUCAGGGAACAAAGGCGGGGACGUGUCCCCGGAUGAGUGUACCUGAAGAAAAAGCAUCGGCUAACUCCGUGCCAGCAGCCGCGGUAAUACGGGGGAUGCGAGCGUUAUCCGGAUUUAUUGGGUUUAAGGGGUGCGCAGGCGGUCUGUUAAGUCAGCGGUCAACCCCCGGGGCUCAACCCCGGCCCGCCGUUGAAACUGGCAGUCUCGAGUUGGAGAGAAGUAGGCGGAAUGCGCGGUGUAGCGGUGAAAUGCAUAGAUAUCGCGCAGAACUCCGAUUGCGAAGGCAGCAUGCCGGCUCCACACUGACGCUGAGGCACGAAAGCGUGGGUAUCGAACAGGAUUAGAUACCCGUGUAGUC
rnacentral:rRNA from 1 species